GCCGCGGUGGCGGAACUGGCAUACGCGUUAGGUUCAGGACCUAAUGUCCAUUAAGGACUUGAGAGUUCAAAUCUCUCCCGCGGCA
rnacentral:tRNA from 1 species